rnacentral:SRP_RNA from 1 species
GUCAGAUGUGAUGGCAUGCACCUGCAGUCCCACCUACUCAGGAGGCCGAGGCAGGACAAUUGCUUGAGUCUGUCCAGGAGUUCUGGGCUGCAGUGCACUAUGCUGAUUUGUUGUCUGCACUAAGUUUGGCAUCAGUAUGGUGACCUCUGGGAAUGUGGCACCACCAGGUUUCUUAGGGAGGGAUGAAUUGGCCCACGACAGAAACAGGGCAGGUCAAAACUCCCAUGCUGAUCACACCUGUGUAAGGCCACUGCACUCCAGCCUGAGCAACAUAGCAAGACCCUGUCUUU